CAUAACUCCUAAAGGAGUGCCUUUUGCAUCAGGAGAAUUGUAGGAAUUAAAUCUUUUACACACCGACACGGUGCCAAGUAGUUAGGCAGUAACAGUGCUAUCUUAAAAAGACAAUUUACACACCGAAUUAGCUGUUUGUAAUCAUCUCAGGCAGUCCUGUUGAAACUAUAACAAAUCUUUUUAAAAAAAUCAAUUCACUAGUAAGAUCUCAAAUCAUUUGUAACUCAAUCUACGUUAAAUGUUUAACAAAAACAUUACUACGAUCCUACGUGGUACGUCCUGCUAUUUGCUAGUAAAAAAGCAGAAUACUCUAAGGUAGCAUAAUAACUUGGCCAUUUAUUGUGGUCUAGAAUGAAGGGGUAAAUAACGAAUAAAAUCAAAUAAUUCUUUAUGAACCUUAAUAUUUGGUAAAAACUCCUACACAAAAUGAUACCACGAUAAGACCCUCGAAUCUAAGCAUUUCUUGGGGUAAGAUCCUCCAACACUUUAACUAACUUAUUAAAAUACACAAGAUACUCAAGGGAUAACAGCGGCUAUUGUUAAUAGAAGAUAUACCACACAAAGUACCGACCUCGAUGUUGGAUCAUAUAAACAAAGUAAACUAACUAGGUUUGUUCACCCUAUAGAUAUAUACGUGAUCUGAGUUCAGAACGUUGUAAGACAGUUCAGCUUCUAUGGAUCAUUUUUAUAAAAGGCUCACUAGUACGAAAGGACCAAGAGCCUUCU
rnacentral:rRNA from 1 species